rnacentral:rRNA from 1 species
CCUACGGGAGGCAGCAGUAGGGAAUCUUCCACAAUGGGCGAAAGCCUGAUGGAGCAACGCCGCGUGGGUGAAGAAGGUCUUCGGAUCGUAAAACCCUGUUGUUAGAGAAGAAAGUGCGUGAGAGUAACUGUUCACGUUUCGACGGUAUCUAACCAGACAGCCACGGCUAACUACGUGCCAGCAGCCGCGGUAAUACGUAGGUGACAAGCGUUAUCCGGAUUUAUUGGGCGUAAAGGGAACGCAGGCGGUCUUUUAAGUCUGAUGUGAAAGCCUUCGGCUUAACCGGAGUAGUGCAUUGGAAACUGGGAGACUUGAGUGCAGAAGAGGGGAGUGGAACUCCAUGUGUAGCGGUGAAAUGCGUAGAUAUAUGGAAGAACACCAGUGGCGAAAGCGGCUCUCUGGGCUGUAACUGACGCUGAGGUUCGAAAGCGUGGGUAGCAAACAGGAUUAGAUACCCCUGUAGUC